rnacentral:rRNA from 1 species
UACGUAGGUGGCAAGCGUUAUCCGGAAUUACUGGGUGUAAAGGGCGUGUAGGCGGGGAUGUAAGUCAGAUGUGAAAUGCUGGGGCUCAACUCCAGAGCUGCAUCUGAAACUAUAUCUCUUGAGUGCUGGAGAGGAAAGCGGAAUUCCUAGUGUAGCGGUGAAAUGCGUAGAUAUUAGGAGGAACACCAGUGGCGAAGGCGGCUUUCUGGACAGUAACUGACGCUGAGGCGCGAAAGCGUGGGGAGCAAACAGG